GAACAUUGUCUGCUUACAAAUCAAUUUAUAUAACCUUUAUGUGUACUGUUCUGUCUCUUUCCACAUACAUGUAUAUCUAUCUAUGUCUGAAGAUAGAUAGAAUUAUAUAUCAAUAUAUUGGUAUACAUGCUAGUUUAUGUUUUUGAUGUUGUGAAAAAAAGAUUAAUAUGAAAGUGGUGGUCUAAUAAUCACAUUGCCAUUAAUCUAAUGCUAUUUUGUAGGAGUAGAACUUUUAAGAUGAUGAACAGCUUUGGCUUAACAACUUAAACUGUGCAUUUCUACCUGAAAUAUAAUGUAGUUUAUGAAUUCUAUUGCUUUAUUACAUGGUUGAUUUAUUUUAAUGACAAUGGAAAGAGUCUGAAAUAAGUAUAGCAAAAAUGUCUAAUUAUUCAUAAAUGUCAUGACCUCUAUAUGACAAUCUAAUACUUUGACAAAUAUUUUGUAUUUGUAAUGAGUCCGCUGUUAAUCUUCUUUCUUUUUUCAAAAAAAUAUAUUUGCCUUUACAGUUUGCAGAGUGCAUACUGGAAAACAAGGACCUGAACUUUCCAUCAACAGCAGAAGCUGUUAAUACCAUGCGACUCAACAUUUCUUCCACACUUCUCUCAGAAUCAGACUCAGUGGAGAAUCUCUGCAGACACUGUGGCAGUGAGGACACAGAAGAUCAUAUGUGGAUCGCAUGUGACAGAUGCAACUGGUGGUACCACCAAGGCUGCGUUAAGGUCCCACAAACCGACACAGGCUACUGCUGUGCAAUGUGCUUAUAGAUUUUAUGUUUGUACCAAUCUAAUUCUUUAAUGACUGCAGUUUAGUGGAUUUUCAGUUUAAACAUGUGACAUAAUUUUCGUUGACUUAAUUGGUUUUCCAAAAUUUUUUGUUAUGAAUAUUCUUUUGUUGAAAUUAAUGAAAAAAAGUGAUUAACCUAACCCUAACUCCUAACCCUAACUAUAGAGGUGCAGUCGUAUGUGUACAGACAAUAGAGCAGGGGGCUCAGCACACAGCCCUGUGGAGAGCCAGUACUAAGGCUGAGGGCAGUGGAUGUAUGUUUUCCCACCCUAACUCUCUGCUGUCGAUUGGUCAGUAAGCUCAAAAUCCACAUGCAGGUGGAGUGAGGGAGGCCCAGGUCCCCCAAUUUGUCCACCAGUCUGUGAGGGAGGAUGGUAUUAAAA